rnacentral:rRNA from 1 species
UACGUAGGGUGCGAGCGUUGUCCGGAAUUAUUGGGCGUAAAGAGCUCGUAGGCGGCUUGUCGCGUCGGAUGUGAAAGCUCGGGGCUUAACUCCGGGUCUGCAUUCGAUACGGGCAGGCUAGAGUUUGGUAGGGGAGAUCGGAAUUCCUGGUGUAGCGGUGAAAUGCGCAGAUAUCAGGAGGAACACCGGUGGCGAAGGCGGAUCUCUGGGCCGAUACUGACGCUGAGGAGCGAAAGCGUGGGGAGCGAACAGG